rnacentral:rRNA from 1 species
CACGAACGCUGGCGGCAGGCUUAACACAUGCAAGUCGAGCGCCCCGCAAGGGGAGCGGCAGACGGGUGAGUAACGCGUGGGAAUCUACCCAUCCCUACGGAAUAACGCAUGGAAACGUGUGCUAAUACCGUAUACGUCCUUCGGGAGAAAGAUUUAUCGGAGAUGGAUGAGCCCGCGUUGGAUUAGCUAGUUGGUGGGGUAAAGGCCUACCAAGGCGACGAUCCAUAGCUGGUCUGAGAGGAUGAUCAGCCACACUGGGACUGAGACACGGCCCAGACUCCUACGGGAGGCAGCAGUGGGGAAUAUUGGACAAUGGGCGCAAGCCUGAUCCAGCCAUGCCGCGUGAGUGAUGAAGGCCCUAGGGUUGUAAAGCUCUUUCACCGGUGAAGAUAAUGACGGUAACCGGAGAAGAAGCCCCGGCUAACUUCGUGCCAGCAGCCGCCGUAAUAC